rnacentral:tRNA from 1 species
GCCCCUGUAGCCCAAUGGCAGAGGCGGACUCCCUAAAAGAGUCAUCGUGUCGGUUCGAGUCCGACCAGGGGCA